rnacentral:misc_RNA from 1 species
UGCAAGGCAAGAAUUUCAUAAUGAAGAGUAACUUGAAGAAUCCAAAGCUUUGAUUGUUAAGCCUUCACAUGUUGAAAUCCAAGAUAAUAAGACUAAAUAGGAAAAUUUUGAAGAACCUGUUCUAGGGAAAGGAACUGAUAAGAAUGAGCGAGAAAAGAAAGAAGAAAUUCUAGCCAUGGAAAUGAUGAAUCUAUCCUACGGAAAGAAAUUCAAGCCAUGGAGACAACAAUGGAAAUUAAA